rnacentral:rRNA from 1 species
AGAUUGAACGCUGGCGGCAGGCCUAACACAUGCAAGUCGAGCGGCAGCACGGGUACUUGUACCUGGUGGCGAGCGGCGGACGGGUGAGUAAUGCCUAGGAAUCUGCCUGGUAGUGGGGGAUAACGCUCGGAAACGGACGCUAAUACCGCAUACGUCCUACGGGAGAAAGCAGGGGACCUUCGGGCCUUGCGCUAUCAGAUGAGCCUAGGUCGGAUUAGCUAGUUGGUGAGGUAAUGGCUCACCAAGGCGACGAUCCGUAACUGGUCUGAGAGGAUGAUCAGUCACACUGGAACUGAGACACGGUCCAGACUCCUACGGGAGGCAGCAGUGGGGAAUAUUGGACAAUGGGCGAAAGCCUGAUCCAGCCAUGCCGCGUGUGUGAAGAAGGUCUUCGGAUUGUAAAGCACUUUAAGUGGAGAAGGCAGUUACCUAAUACGUAUCUGUUUGACGUUACCGACAGAAUAAGCACCGGCUAACUCUGUG